CGAGGGGCAGCGGGGUAGUGCUUGCACUACUGCCGGCGACCGGCGCACGGGUGAGUAACACGUAUGGAACCUGCCCGCAGCAGGGGGAUAAGCGGAAGAAAUUCCGUCUAAUACCGCGCAACAACGUUGGGAGGCAUCUCCCGAUGUUUAAAGAUUUAUCGGCUGCGGAUGGCCAUGCGGCGCAUUAGCUAGUCGGCGGGGUAACGGCCCACCGAGGCGACGAUGCGUAGGGGUUCUGAGAGGAAGGUCCCCCACACUGGUACUGAGACACGGACCAGACUCCUACGGGAGGCAGCAGUGAGGAAUAUUGGUCAAUGGCCGAGAGGCUGAACCAGCCAAGUCGCGUGAGGGAAGACGGCCCUACGGGUUGUAAACCUCUUUUGUCGGGGAGCAAAGCGAACCACGUGUGGUUCAUUGAGAGUACCCGAAGAAAAAGCAUCGGCUAACUCCGUGCCAGCAGCCGCGGUAAUACGGAGGAUGCGAGCGUUAUCCGGAUUUAUUGGGUUUAAAGGGUGCGCAGGCGGAGGUGCAAGUCAGCGGUCAAAUUGCGGGGCUCAACCCCGUACUGCCGUUGAAACUGCAUCCCUUGAGUGCGCGAGAAGUAUGCGGAAUGCGUGGUGUAGCGGUGAAAUGCAUAGAUAUCACGCAGAACUCCGAUUGCGAAGGCAGCAUACCGGCGCUCAACUGACGCUCAG
rnacentral:rRNA from 1 species